GUGCUUGCUUCAGCAGCACAUUUAUGAAAAAUUGGAACAAUACAGAGGAUUAGCAUGGCCCCUGCACAAGGAUGACACGAAAAUUUGUGAAGCAUUCAUAUUUUUG